GCCGCGUUUGUGACAGUCUCCCGUCCUCUCGUGGUCCAGCGCUGGCAGGGUGGAGACUGAACGAAAGACUGGGCUGGAAGCACCGCGAGUGACCCUGGGAAAGGCUGUGGAAGGGUCAGAGAGCACGGUUCUUUGCACAGUUAGGGUUGAACAAAAAGUGGACUCCUUGAUACCAGUUGGUAUGGAUUUGACAAUUAGCGAUUCACAGUUGAACAAACUUUACCUCUUAGCGCUUCUCCUGGAUUGAAAUUCCGCUCUAACCUCCAGUAAAUCCUAACACUUUCACCGGAGUGGCCAGAAGAUAACUUGCCACGUUUUUUCAAAGGUUUUCAGGGAUGAGCUCUUAACCCUUUGGGGAAGGACCUUCGGGCAAGUUUACACACGGAACUGCAAAGUUAAUCUCCCCGCCCUCCUUGGUCAGACAAGUCCACGGAGGUGGUAGCAGAACGGAACGACGGCUGUAACUGAUCAUCUAAAGUAACUAACGGUCUGCGAACAAAUUCUUCCUGUUUCAGCUUUGAACACUUCGCCACACACCAACCCUCAGUGCAGCGAAAAUCAUGGUGUUUAUUUAGAUAACGACUGAGUACUUAUAAAACUUAAACUUUCAAAUGUAAGAGUGAACUCCUUGGUAAGGACUCCUGGCUACAUCAACAAAGCAAUGUAAUGCCUGAUUAAUAGUGCUGAUUAAUGUUGGCUCAGGUUAAUGCUGAGCCCAUUACAAUAAUUAGAUGGUUCAGCCAUGUAUCAAACGAGAGUCAAUGAAAAAUUAUUUAGGACUUUGAGACGUUCUCAUACAUCUUCCAAAGAUCUAUGAUGGACUUUAUGGGUCAUUUGUAACUAUCACUGGUUGAUAGCUGUCCUGAGCAACAAAAACUUGACUUAAAAAUAAGUCGUAGGUGGGGUAACAGUGUAUUUUUGAGCCUCUGUAAUUGAUAAGGGGAGUAAUGAAACGUUUGGAAACGUGAAAACUGCUUGAUCCAUAAUAUGAUAUACACAAGGGCAGCUGAUGAUUGUUCCUACAUAAAGCCAUUGAUUUUUGAUCCUCAGUUCUUGUCAAGUGAUCAUUUUAAUCAGGAAGCUAAAAUUUUGAGGCAAGGUCCCCACUUUGAAAUAAAAGUGUUUUAGGAAAUGCAAAAGUCCAAAAGGUAUGGCUAUGUAUGAAUUCCACAAACUAUUAGGAUUUUCCCACUAGCCAAAAUAAAAUCAGCUGGUGACAAAGAUAGGUGUACUUAAAAUACCAUCGUAUUUGAAAUAUUUCCACUACCUUGUCACCUGAAAAGGAAAAUUGGGCUGAACAGAACUUGAAUCUUCUUUUAAAAAAUUAUUUCGUUUCUUCUCACCAGUACCUAUUGGAAAUAUUUAGUGGAUUAAAAAAAUUUUUUUUUCUAAAGCUGGUGUGAAAGUCUUUAUCAUUGUAGUUUCUAUUAUUAAGCCUGGCUGAGUAGAGAUAUGUGUACACGUUUAGUAAUUUAUUUCGAGAUUACUGUGGAGUGUUGAUUAGAACGUUCCUCUUAUUGAUAACUAUAGAAUCCCUUACCCCAUUAUGAAAGAACUUUUAAAAGUCGUUCCUAGAUGCAUUUUUCUGGUGUGUAUUUGGGUUUUCACUAAAAAUUUCUAUUC